GCCGCGUGAGGGACGACGGCCUUCGGGUUGUAAACCUCUUUUAGCAGGGAAGAAGCGAAAGUGACGGUACCUGCAGAAAAAGCACCGGCUAACUACGUGCCAGCAGCCGCGGUAAUACGUAGGGUGCAAGCGUUGUCCGGAAUUAUUGGGCGUAAAGAGCUCGUAGGCGGUUUGUCGCGUCUGCUGUGAAAACGCGAGGCUCAACCUCGCGCCUGCAGUGGGUACGGGCAAACUAGAGUGCGGUAGGGGAGAUUGGAAUUCCUGGUGUAGCGGUGGAAUGCGCAGAUAUCAGGAGGAACACCGAUGGCGAAGGCAGAUCUCUGGGCCGUAACUGACGCUGAGGAGCGAAAGCAUGGGGAGCGAACAGGAUUAGAUACCCUGGUAGUCCAUGCCGUAAACGUUGGGAACUAGAUGUAGGGACCAUUCCACGGUUUCUGUGUCGCAGCUAACGCAUUAAGUUCCCCGCCUGGGGAGUACGGUCGCAAGACUAAAACUCAAAGGAAUUGACGGGGGCCCGCACAAGCGGCGGAGCAUGCGGAUUAAUUCGAUGCAACGCGAAGAACCUUACCAAGGCUUGACAUAUACGAGAACGGGCUAGAAAUAGUCAACUCUUUGGACACUCGUAAACAGGUGGUGCAUGGUUGUCGUCAGCUCGUGUCGUGAGAUGUUGGGUUAAGUCCCGCAACGAGCGCAACCCUCGUCCUAUGUUGCCAGCACGUAAUGGUGGGAACUCAUGGGAGACUGCCGGGGUCAACUCGGAGGAAGGUGGGGAUGACGUCAAAUCAUCAUGCCCCUUAUGUCUUGGGCUUCACGCAUGCUACAAUGG
rnacentral:rRNA from 1 species